UUAGUCUUGUAAUUUAAGACUGGAAUGAAAGAGAUUACUAAAGAGAUAUUUUCUUAUAUUUAUCAUAUAAAUUUUACCUUUUAGUAAAAAGGCUAAAAUGAAUCUUUUAGACAAGAAGACCCUAUAAAACUUUACAUCUAACUAAUCUAAAAAUUUUUAAGGUGUUUUACUGGGGCGGUAAAAUUUUUAAACAUUUUUUGAUGGUAAAAAUAUAGAAAUUUUUAUAACUAGAAGUUCUAAAAUAAAAACAAGUUACUUUAGGGAUAACAGCGUAAUUUAUUUUGAAAGGUCUUAUUGACAGAUAAGUUUGCGACCUCGAUGUUGGAUUAGAGAAUCUUACCUAUGUAUAAGUAGAAGAAG
rnacentral:rRNA from 1 species